rnacentral:rRNA from 1 species
GGGGAAUAAAAAACAAGAUUUGCUGUCGAGUGGCGGACGGGUGAGUAAUGUCUGGGAAACUGCCUGAUGGAGGGGGAUAACUACUGGAAACGGUAGCUAAUACCGCAUAACGUCGCAAGACCAAAGAGGGGGACCUUCGGGCCUCUUGCCAUCGGAUGUGCCCAGAUGGGAUUAGCUUGUUGGUGGGGUAACGGCUCACCAAGGCGACGAUCCCUAGCUGGUCUGAGAGGAUGACCAGCCACACUGGAACUGAGACACGGUCCAGACUCCUACGGGAGGCAGCAGUGGGGAAUAUUGCACAAUGGGCGCAAGCCUGAUGCAGCCAUGCCGCGUGUAUGAAGAAGGCCUUCGGGUUGUAAAGUACUUUCAGCGGGGAGGAAGGGAGUAAAGUUAAUACCUUUGCUCAUUGACGUUACCCGCAGAAGAAGCACCGGCUAACUCCGUGCCAGCAGCCGCGGUAAUACGGAGGGUGCAAGCGUUAAUCGGAAUUACUGGGCGUAAAGCGCACGCAGGCGGUUUGUUAAGUCAGAUGUGAAAUCCCCGGGCUCAACCUGGGAACUGCAUCUGAUACUGGCAAGCUUGAGUCUCGUAGAGGGGGGUAGAAUUCCAGGUGUAGCGGUGAAAUGCGUAGAGAUCUGGAGGAAUACCGGUGGCGAAGGCGGCCCCCUGGACGAAGACUGACGCUCAGGUGCGAAAGAGUGGGGAGCAAACAGGAUUAGAUACCCUGGUAGUCCACGCCGUAAACGAUGUCGACUUGGAGGUUGUGCCCUUGAGGCGUGGCUUCCGGGAGCUAAAGCGUUAAGUCCG